UAACGCGUGGAUAACCUGCCUCACACAGGGGAGUAACAGUUAGAAAUGACUGCUAAUACCGCAUAAGCGCACGGCAUCGCAUGAUGCAGUGUGAAAAACUCCGGUGGUGUGAGAUGGAUCCGCGUCUGAUUAGGUAGUUGGUGGGGUAACGACCCACCAAGCCGACGAUCAGUAGCCGACCUGAGAGGGUGACCGGCCACAUUGGGACUGAGACACGGCCCAA
rnacentral:rRNA from 1 species